rnacentral:rRNA from 1 species
UCGGGAAUUUUGGGCAAUGGGCGAAAGCCUGACCCAGCAACGCCGCGUGAGGGAUGAGGUAUUUCGGUAUGUAAACCUCGAAAGAAUGGGAAGAAUAAAUGACGGUACCAUUUAUAAGCUCCGGCUAACUACGUGCCAGCAGCCGCGGUAAUACGUAGGGAGCAAGCGUUGUUCGGAUUUACUGGGCGUAAAGGGCGCGUAGGCGGCGCGGUAAGUCACUUGUGAAAUCUCUGAGCUUAACUCAGAACGGCCAAGUGAUACUGCUGUGCUAGAGUGCGGAAGAGGCAACCGGAAUUCUUGGUGUAGCGGUGAAAUGCGUAGAUAUCAAGAGGAACACCUGAGGCGAAGGCGGGUUGCUGGGCCGACACUGACGCUGAUGCGCGAAAGCCAGGGGAGCAAACG